rnacentral:rRNA from 1 species
GACGAACGCUGGCGGCGUGCCUAAUACAUGCAAGUCGAGCGAGCUUGCCUAGAUCUUGUUCGUCUUUGGACCACAUGAAACUAGAGACAAGCGAGCGGCGAACCUGUCAGUAAGACUUGGGUAACCUCCCCAAAACACUGCUAUAACACCUGGAAAUAGUUGCUCAUAUCGGUCAACAGUAAUAGACGCAUGUGCAGACUCUAAUAGAUGGAUCUGCUAUGCAUCUUGUAUGUACCUGCGUUGCAUUAGCUAGUUGGUAAGGCAACGGCUUACCAAGGCAAUGAUGCAUAGCCGAGUUGAGAGACUGAUCGGCCACAUUGGAACUGAGACACGGUCCAGACUCCUACGGGAGGCAGCAGUAGGGAAUCUUCCGCAAUGGGCGAAAGUCUGAUGGAGCAACGCCGCGUGAGUGAAGAAGGGUUUCGGCUCGUAAAGCUCUGUUGGUAGUGAAGAACGAUAGUGGAAGUAACUGGGCAUUUUUUGACGGUACUUAAUCAGAAAGCCACGGCUAACUACGUG